GACGAACGCUGGCGGCGUGCUUAACACAUGCAAGUCGAACGGAAAGGCCCCUUUGGGGGUACUCGAGUGGCGAACGGGUGAGUAACACGUGAGUAACCUGCCCUUGACUUCGGGAUAACUUCAGGAAACUGGGGCUAAUACCGGAUAGGAAUCCUUGCUGCAUGGUGGGGGUUGGAAAGCUUCGGCGGUUUUGGAUGGACUCGCGGCUUAUCAGCUUGUUGGUGGGGUAGUGGCUUACUAAGGCUUUGACGGGUAGCCGGCCUGAGAGGGCGACCGGCCACAUUGGGACUGAGAUACGGCCCAGACUCCUACGGGAGGCAGCAGUGGGGAAUAUUGCACAAUGGGCGGAAGCCUGAUGCAGCAACGCCGCGUGCGGGAUGACGGCCUUCGGGUUGUAAACCGCUUUCAGCAGGGGCGAAGCUUGUGGUGACGGUACCUGCAGAAGAAGCACCGGCUAACUACGUG
rnacentral:rRNA from 1 species